rfam:Capsicum annuum cultivar Zunla-1 chromosome 3, whole genome shotgun sequence
UACUGAUGAUGGUUAGGGCAAUUUAUGAGCAUAUCCUUAAAUCUCUCCCGAGCUUGGUAGAGAUUCUCUCUUUCUUUCCGUCUAAAAAUCAAGAUCUUACUUCUCAAGCA